GGGCCAGGAAUCCACCGCAUGACCGGGGCUGCUAUCCAUCCACCACCGCAGCCGGAGGAUUUGGAUUCGGGGCCCAGAGGAGCAACAAGAGUACUGACACUUUUCCCCACCGGGGAUGAUUGAGUCCGGUACACCUUCCGACCCCUUUCAAUUUAGAAUUUGCUCAUGGGAUUUAACAACUCCAGAUCUGGUUUGUAGAAUCCAGUAAUUGGAUUGCCAUCACAGUCAU
rnacentral:misc_RNA from 1 species